AUUGAACGCUGGCGGCAGGCCUAACACAUGCAAGUCGAACGAGUGGCGGACGGGUGAGUAAUGUCUGGGAACCUGCCCGAUGGAGGGGGAUAACUACUGGAAACGGUAGCUAAUACCGCAUACCAUCGGAUGUGCCCAGAUGGGAUUAGCUAGUCGGGGGGGUAAUGGCUCCCCUAGGCGACGAUCCCUAUCUGGUAUGAGAGGCUGACCAGCCACACUGGAACUGAGACACGGUCCAGACUCCUACGGGAGGCAGCAGUGGGGAAUAUUGGACAAUGGGCGAAAGCCUGAUCCAGCCAUGCCGCGUGUGUGAAGAAGGUCUUCGGAUUGUAAAGCACUGUAAGUUGGGAAGCGUUACCAACAGAAGAAGCACCGGCUAACUUCGUGCCAGCCGCCGCGGUAAUAC
rnacentral:rRNA from 1 species